UACGUAGGUGGCAAGCGUUGUCCGGAUUUAUUGGGUUUAAAGGGUGCGUAGGCGGCCCUGUAAGUCAGUGGUGAAAUACGGCAGCUCAACUGUCGAGGUGCCAUUGAUACUGCAGGGCUUGAGUACAGACGAGGUAGGCGGAAUUGACGGUGUAGCGGUGAAAUGCGUAGAUAUCGGAAGGAACACCAGUGGCGAAAGCGGCUUCCUGGUCCAGCACCGACGUUCAGGCACGAAAGCGUGGGGAGCAAACAGG
rnacentral:rRNA from 1 species